AUAUAUUCAUGUUGUUUUUUUUUUUGUUAUGUUUUUUAAACUAAAUUUGCCUUACAUUGUGUAUUAUCUCUCCAGAAAAUGUUAAGCAAUAACUGUACAUUUUAACAAAUAAGAACUUAAAGAAAAAAAAAAAGUUAUUCUGUAAUAUUUAGCUAAUGUAGCAAAAGAAGAGAGAUGAUAUAGGAUUGUAGUAGAAAUGUUGACAUUUUAUAAAUACUUACCAGCAUCAGAGAAUGUUAAUUUAGUUUAUUUUGACAAAAUAUUCUUCAAUCAUUUGGUCUCCUCUGUGUUAGGUAGCCUAUUGUCUGUGUGAAGACUAAAUAUAAAUUGUAAAUAUAUAAAUAUAUGUAAAUGUGAUGAUCAUUAUAUUCAUGCUGUCUGUUAUUAG